UACGUAGGUGACAAGCGUUGUCCGGAUUUACUGGGCGUAAAGAGCGCGCAGGCGGUCGAUCAAGUCGAACGUGAAAUCCCCGAGCUCAACUCGGGAACUGCGUCCGAUACUGGUGGGCUUGAAUCCGGGAGAGGGAUGCGGAAUUCCAGGUGUAGCGGUGAAAUGCGUAGAUAUCUGGAGGAACACCGGUGGCGAAGGCGGCAUCCUGGACCGGCAUUGACGCUGAGGCGCGAAAGCUAGGGGAGCAAACGGG
rnacentral:rRNA from 1 species